rnacentral:misc_RNA from 1 species
CAAUCGAAGCACAUCUUGUUAUCGGAUUUCGCUUUGAGCUUUCUGAACACAGCAUUUUUGUCGGUAAAGUUUUCAGACGCCAUUGAUCGUGGUCACACACACAAAGUCUCCGAAGAGGUGAGGUUAUUGGCUCCAGCACCUCUUCAGGGAGAGGGAAACGCAGAGAGACGCCGAGAGAGAGAGAGAGAGAAUUCGAAUUCG